GGCUCAGUAGCUAAGUGGUCACAGCGCAUCGUUCGGGUUACUGAGUUGAAGAUCGAUGAGGUCCUGGGUUCGAAUCCCAGCUGAGCCC
rnacentral:tRNA from 1 species